rnacentral:ribozyme from 13 species
UUUUUUUUUUUUUUUUUUUUUUUUUUUUUUUUUUUUUCCG